rnacentral:rRNA from 1 species
GACGAACGCUGGCGGCGUGCUUAACACAUGCAAGUCGAACGGAAAGGCCCUGCUUUUGUGGGGUGCUCGAGUGGCGAACGGGUGAGUAACACGUGAGUAACCUGCCCUUGACUUUGGGAUAACUUCAGGAAACUGGGGCUAAUACCGGAUAGGAGCUCCUGCUGCAUGGUGGGGGUUGGAAAGUUUCGGCGGUUGGGGAUGGACUGGCGGCUUAUCAGCUUGUUGGUGGGGUAGUGGCUUACCAAGUCUUUGACGGGUAGCCGGCCUGAGAGGGUGACCGGCCACAUUGGGACUGAGGGACGGCCCAGUCUCCUACGGGAGACAGCAGUGGGGAAUAUUGCACAGUGAGGCGAAGCCUGAUGCAGCGGCGCCGCGUGCGGGAUGACGGCCUUCGGGUUGUAAACCGCUUUCGCCUGUGACGAAGCGUGAGUGACGGUAAUGGGUAAAGAAGCACCGGCUAACUACGUG